GAUUCCACGCUUGUGUCUGACGCCAUAGCGGGGGGGCGAAGCGCCGGUCGCGGGAAAGCGAGGAGUUAACGACGCAAACAGCGGCGUCGACGGAGGAAAUGAAAGUGCGAACGAGGGUCGUGACCCCACGAGCGUGACCCUGGCGACGAGUCAACGAGGAGAAGGGAAAGACGGAGUGGACAUAUUUAUGCAGCGUUCACGUUAGACAGAGAACAGGUCGAGUCUUCCAGACAGAUACGAGUAGCUGUUGCAUUGUGGGACGCAGACACUGUUCUGCCGCGGCGGCUAAAGAGGUUCGUCUUUCUGCCCCUCGGGCAACGCUCUCUGGGAACUGCAACUGCUAAUAUUCCUGUAUUGUAUUCCAGGCCAUAGCCUGAUCCAAAAACCACAAGGGCUGGCUGAGGAUUCCCUCUGGUUUGUGUCUCUCUUUUUUCAUUCUGCGUAUCUUCGCUUCCAACGAAGACAAAGUGCACGAGAGGCGUC
ensembl:lncRNA